AGCAGCGGCCGGGCAGGUAUUGGGGGCGUUCCGGAAUUGAGGGGUGGUUGUAGUGGUGGCUUAGGAAUACCCUCCCGGCUAUCGCUUCAGUGGGUAGAGGGGACCACUGCCCGAGAGCUUUAAUGGAGCUGGGUCCUGCCUUCGCGCUGAGGAGCCCUCGUUUUCGAGAUCAGGCCUGACCGGGAUAAGCUCCAGAAACAGUAUUAUGUCUCAGUCCUGUGCAAAGUGAGAUGAGCUGUAGCCUUUGGAGACCUAUAAUUUUGAACAUAGAUGUUCCUUAAAAGCUAAAUCUUUUUGAACAGAUGAUGAUAAACCUGGAAGGUUAUUUUGCCAUCCUUUCCUUCCAUGAUGUGAUUCUUCAGGCCAAGAAGAAAAAGAUGUGUCUGUAGCUAAAAUUACCUCAUCCUUGGUGUUUUUCAGCCUAGGAUCACUAUAUGUAGCUAAUGCCGUUACAUUACAACUAAGACAAGUUCCAAUACUUUUUUUUUUCUCCUCGAUCUGCAGAGAUUCACCAACAAUAGCAAAUUACACACUGGCUUGGAAAGUACUCCCAUGUUCCGUUUGAUCUUGG
rnacentral:lncRNA from 1 species